rnacentral:pre_miRNA from 1 species
UAUGAAAAAUUUCAUUCAUUUUUACUAUUGAAAACUAGUGUUUCUAACAUAAUAGUUAAACAAGUUAUACAUAAUGUGCCACGUGUACCUUAUUUUGAUAUGUAUGAACAUAUUUUUAACAAUAGAAAAUGAUGAAAUUUUUAAUA